UACGUAGGUCCCGAGCGUUAUCCGGAUUUAUUGGGCGUAAAGCGAGCGCAGGCGGUUAGAUAAGUCUGAAGUUAAAGGCUGUGGCUUAACCAUAGUACGCUUUGGAAACUGUUUAACUUGAGUGCAGAAGGGGAGAGUGGAAUUCCAUGGGUAGCGGUGAAAUGCGUAGAUAUAUGGAGGAACACCGGUGGCGAAAGCGGCUCUCUGGUCUGUAACUGACGCUGAGGCUCGAAAGCGUGGGGAGCAAACAGGAUUAGAUACCCUG
rnacentral:rRNA from 1 species